GACGAACCGAGCGAACGUUAUUCGGAAUCACUGGGCUUAAAGCGCGUGUAGGCGGAUCGUUAAGUGCCUUGUGAAAUCCUGCGGCUCAACCGCAGAACUGCUGGGCAUACUGGCGAUCUUGGGCCACUCAGGGGUCACUGGAACAAGCGGUGGAGCGGUGAAAUGCGUAGAUAUCGCUUGGAACGCCAAAGGUGAAGACAGGUGACUGGGGGUGUGCCGACGCUGAGACGCGAAAGCCAGGGGAGCAAACGGG
rnacentral:rRNA from 1 species